AACGAACGCUGGCGGCAUGCCUAACACAUGCAAGUCGAACGAGACCUUCGGGUCUAGUGGCGCACGGGUGCGUAACGCGUGGGAACCUGCCCUUAGGUUCGGAAUAACUCCCCGAAAGGGGUGCUAAUACCGGAUAAUGUCUUCGGACCAAAGAUUUAUCGCCUUUGGAUGGGCCCGCGUUGGAUUAGCUAGUUGGUAGGGUAAAAGCCUACCAAGGCGACGAUCCAUAGCUGGUCUGAGAGGAUGAUCAGCCACACUGGGACUGAGACACGGCCCAGACUCCUACGGGAGGCAGCAGAGGGGAAUAUAGGACAAUGGGCGAAAGGCUGAUACAGCAAUGCCGCGUGAGUGAUGAAGGCCUUAGGGUUGUAAAGCUGUUUUACCCGGGAUGAUAAUGACAGUACCGGGAGAAUAAGCUCCGGCUAACUACGUG
rnacentral:rRNA from 1 species